GACGAACGCUGGCGGCGUGCUUAACACAUGCAAGUCGAACGGUGAAGGGACUGGUUUUGCUGGUCCUGGAUGAGUGGCGAACGGGUGAGUAACACGUGAGUAACCUGCCCCCUUCUUCUGGAUAACCGCAUGAAAGUGUGGCUAAUACGGGAUAUUCUGGGUCUGUCGCAUGGUGGGCCUGGGAAAGAUUGCGCCUUUUUUGGUGUUUUUGGUGGGGGAUGGGCUCGCGGCCUAUCAGCUUGUUGGUGGAGUGAUGGCCUACCAAGGCGGUGACGGGUAGCCGGCCUGAGAGGGUGGACGGUCACACUGGGACUGAGACACGGCCCAGACUCCUACGGGAGGCAGCAGUGGGGAAUAUUGCACAAUGGGCGCAAGCCUGAUGCAGCGACGCCGCGUGAGGGAUGGAGGCCUUCGGGUUGUGAACCUCUUUCGCCAGUGAAGCAGGCCUGCCUCUUUUUGUGGGUGGGUUGACGGUAGCUGGAGAAGAAGCGCCGGCUAACUACGUG
rnacentral:rRNA from 1 species